rnacentral:rRNA from 1 species
AGCAAACAGGAUUAGAUACCCUGGUAGUCCACGCUGUAAACGAUGUCGAUUUAGAGGUUAUGGUCUUGAACCGUGGCUUCUGGAGUUAACGCGUUAAAUCGACCGGCUGGGGAGUACGGCCGCAAGGUUAAAACUCAAAUGAAUUGACGGGGGCCCGCACAAGCGGUGGAGCAUGUGGUUUAAUUCGAUGCAACGCGAAGAACCUUACCUACUCUUGACAUCCAGCGAAUCCUUUAGAGAUAGAGGAGUGCCUUCGGGAACGCUGAGACAGGUGCUGCAUGGCUGUCGUCAGCUCGUGUUGUGAAAUGUUGGGUUAAGUCCCGCAACGAGCGCAACCCUUAUCCUUUGUUGCCAGCACGUAAUGGUGGGAACUCAAAGGAGACUGCCGGUGAUAAACCGGAAGAAGGUGGGGAUGACGUCAAGUCAUCAUGGCCCUUACGAGUAGGGCUACACACGUGCUACAAUGGCAGAUACAAAGAGAAGCGACCUCGCGAGAGCAAGCGGAACUCAUAAAGUCUGUCGUAGUCCGGAUUGGAGUCUGCAACUCGACUCCAUGAAGUCGGAAUCGCUAGUAAUCGUAGAUCAGAAUGCUACGGUGAAUACGUUCCCGGGC